UUGUGAUAGUCUUCAGGUUGGAAGAACAACAACUACAUCCCUUGCUUGCUUUGUUGGCUUGUUGCACUUUCCUCCUGAACAUAUAGAGCCUUCAGAAUAAAAUCAGGUGGAACAUUGUUUAAAAUAUGACACAAGGCAAAACUUUGUCAACAAAGAAUAAGCAUAAAUCAAGGUUAAUCGUUGUCAAGUGGAUAUGCACUAAUUGGACUCCUAAUUAGAGUACUUUUUACAAUAAAAGCACAUCUUAUUAAACAAAUCUGAAUUAGAGAAUUAUUUAUUUCAUUAAACUGUGUUCUUCUUUUACUAUGGUAGGUGAGCUCUGAUAACAAAGCUGUGAAACAAAACUGAAAACUCAUUUCAAGACAUUAAUGUAUUUGAUGUUAUUGUCUGUACAGACAAAACUUGCUAUAAUUAUUGGGAAAGGGAAACUGGCAGUACUGAGAAAUAAUGUCACUUCAUUUUGUAGAGGGAGUGAGAAACUGCAGGUCUCUCACAACUGAUCUCAGGUGUGUUGGCACAACUUUUAUGCUCGGUAAAGUGUAUGUACAAUGUGUGGUUCUGAAAAGAAUAAGUGAGAAUUCAAAGCAUUUAUAUACCCUGAAUCUUCUUGAGUGAUUGCAUUCAUUCAAGAAAGAGUUUCUGCAUCAGAUUGCAUUUAUGUAGUUUAACAAGAUCCAUCAAACAAUUUACAGUGAUGAUUUUAACAGGUGACUAAUCAAAAGAAUAGAACCAUACUGAUGAUUUUAAUGCCAAAGAAACGUGUUUUUGAGUGAAAAAAAAAAAGGUUACCUCGUGGCAAUGCUUUUGAUUAGCUGAUAUGCUUCUCACUGUUAUUCUGCCUUUUCUAGGGUAGCAUCUCAGGCAAAUCACCAAGGAAGCUUCACUUGUCAAUGUUCAAGACAUGCUUUCUAACAUCUUACUGUUACCUCUGCAUUGCAACCUACAAACCAAUUUACACAUGCCAGAAUCAUAUGAAUAUACAGUAAGAAACUUACUAUUCAUGCCAAUGUGGAAUAAAACUACUAAUUUCAGUAAAAAGAAAGUGACAUAUGACUUGCUCUAAUCAAGUUAUGCAUAACAUGUUACUGCAAUUUUAUUUCAGUUGCAAAUGGUGCCGCUGAAAGGAUAUACUUUUUUCUCCUCACUUUGCACUAAUCAAGUUUCGGAACUCGUAUAUUUUUCGUUGCAACUAGUAGUUUCUGAUAAGAUGAAAGUACUGGAUGUAUCUGUGUGCUUCCAAAGUGAACUAGAAUCAAAUGUGUAAUAUGCACCUCCCUUCUAAAAUUGAUCUGGUAACAAAUUAACCAGGCACGACACUUCUAGAAUAACCAGAUUACUUCAGAUCCCCAAAAAACAUAAUAAGGUGGAGGCCUCUAAGAAUAUGUCACAAGAUUGCCCAUCCCCUCUAAUGAGUCAAAUGUUCUCUGAAUAUUGCAUUCUUGCAAAUGGAAAGGUACCCUACACUUUACAAGCUCACAUCUAAUGGCCUGUGCUACCUACCAAAUAUUUCAUAUAAUUCACUUGCAAGUGGGGAAAGGCCAAAGAAAGAAAGACCAUUCCCUCUGACAAACAGCAAAUUUAGAAGACCUGCAUGUUGUGUCAUGAAAAGUUUAUUCAUGAAGAAGAAAAUUGCAGAUAAAGAUGAUAACUGCUUAACCGUCAGGGUUGUGCAACCAUGAGAUAUCACCUUCCAUCAUAUUCUAUGGUUACGAAGGAGCAAAUCACCAAUAAAUCUAUUGUAGAACUAUAAUCAAUAUCAUAGCAUCAGUAAAGAAAAUAACUCUGGGAAGUAACAAAUAGUACAUAUAUGCAUAGGAAGCAUAUAAACAUUAGCCCUGAUGAAUGAAGGUGUCUGUGAAGCAUUAUUAUGUUGAGUGGUUAAAAUAAAGCUGCCCAGGAGAACUCAGCCAACAAAAAGGAUGUUGUGGACUUGUGAUGAACCAUUCUCCAUGAUAUUUUCGACAGCAACAAUAACAACCAUCACUUCUGCAAGAUAAGUCAUAAGGGCUCAACUAUGAGGAGACUCCCACUGUAACUCAGUAACAGCAAUUAGGUACCUAGCCUACCUGAGUGCCCAUUGUCCAACAAUCAGACUCUUAAUGAAUUCCAAUUAUCAAUUAUCACGAUUCCUAAAGCAAAACCCCUGAAACUGUUUUCUCUUUUCCAAGCUUCAGUGAACCACUACAUGCACAAGGCCACUAUAUCUGCCUUCCACUUUCCAAAACAUGGUCUCACUUAACUCUUUGAAGUAGGUCGGGGUGGGGGGAAGGAAGCACUACAAGAGAGCUAAUUCUUGAAGGCUUCUUCCUUAACCUUCAUUCCUUAAUAACUUGACCACAUGUAAAAGUACUAAGUUAUAAUUGCAAACACUGUCACACAUGUAAUAGUACUGCAACAUCAAAGAUAGAAAUGAUAGACAGUACAACACAAUUGCAUAAGAACUAAAUUCUAUUUAAAUCGCGUAUGAUCUUAAUGAAAUCCUUUCUACUUUUAGCUGGGACAUUGCCUCAAAGCGUUUAAAAAAUGUUCAGGAAUUCAUUCAUCAAAUUGCCAGCCUUUGGCUAUUAAGAAUUAAGGUAUUUCAGGAAGGAAAAAAAAAAAUCACAAUUUCAAGUUUUAAUACAACUAUGGCUUCCACUAUAUUGCUGGAAAAGAAAAAAAAUAUUCAAAUAUGUGAAUUGAAGAUCAUACCUUUUCUGUCACUGGGAUUCUGUUUUAACUCCUUGCAAUUCCAAGACAAGCCUUAAUUCUAACUAGAAAAAAAAAAAAAAAAAAUCACACAUCAAACAGUGGCAGCAGUAGAAGAAGAAGAAGUUAAUUUUGUUAUUGUUUUUCUCAUUCAUUGAUUCUGGUCUCCAGACACCACUCUUUAGUUGGAAAAAAAAAAAAAAAAAAAAAAAAAAAAACAUUAUGAAUUAACUAAUCAGUCAAAGCUUUCA
rnacentral:lncRNA from 1 species